AUUGAACGCUGGCGGCAGGCCUAAUACAUGCAAGUCGAACGGUAACAUAAAAGAAGCUUGCUUCUUUUGAUGACGAGUGGCGGACGGGUGAGUAAUAUUUGGGAAACUACCUGAUAGAGGGGGACAACAGUUGGAAACGACUGCUAAUACCGCAUAAAGCCUAAGGGUGAAAGCAGCAAUGCGCUAUCAGAUGUGCCCAAACGGGAUUAGCUAGUAGGUGAGGUAAAGGCUCACCUAGGCGACGAUCUCUAGCUGGUCUGAGAGGAUGAUCAGCCACAUUGGGACUGAGACACGGCCCAGACUCCUACGGGAGGCAGCAGUAGGGAAUAUUGCACAAUGGAGGAAACUCUGAUGCAGCCAUGCCGCGUGUGUGAAGAAGGCCUUCGGGUUGUAAAGCACUUCGGUAGGGGAGGAAAGGAUGACGUUACCCUCAGAAGAAGACACCGGCUAACUCCGUGCCAGCAGCCG
rnacentral:rRNA from 1 species